rnacentral:lncRNA from 1 species
UAUCAAUUUUUUCCUAUGUUGAGAAAAUCUUUUCCAUAUCUAUAAUUAGGCAUAUUUCUGGUUCUGAAUGUUAUGUAGUUUGCUGUUUCUCUUAUUUCUUCACUGUCAUUCCUGGAGAUCUGUACAUUUUAUUGGUAUUUUAAAAAAGUUUUAAUUUUACUGAUCAAGUCUACUCUGUUCUAUUUUGUUUUUGCUUUCAUAUACUAUGCUAUUACUACCUAUGUUCAGAGGGAAAAUAUUUUCGUAUAUUAUUAGUGAGAUUUUGAUGGUUAAAAUUUUAAUUUUUCAGGUAUUUGAUGAAUUUGAAAGAGAUACUUUAUUCCUCUUCGAAAGCCUGUUCUGCGUGCUACUGAACUCUCAGUUCAUCCGUGUGCACCACCAGCUGUGAGGGCAGAAUGUCUGCAUGGCCUCGGCCACCAAGUGAGCAGACACGGGGGUUGGAGGGACCAGAGAUGCACAGAGAAGUUCGAGGAUUCCCCCAGAGUUACCGAACCAGCACUGGAGCCAGGCGUG